UACGUAGGGUGCGAGCGUUUGUCCGGAAUUACUGGGCGUAAAGAGCUCGUAGGUGGUUUGUCGCGUUGUCCGUGAAAACUCACAACUCAAUUGUGGGCGUGCGGGCGAUACGGGCAGACUGGAGUACUGCAGGGGAGACUGGAAUUUACGGUGUAGCAGUGAAAUGCGUAGAGAUCGUAAGGAAGACCAGUGGCGAAGGCGGGUCUCUGGGCCGUAACUGACGCUGAGGAGCGAAAGCGUGGGGAGCGAACAGG
rnacentral:rRNA from 1 species